rnacentral:rRNA from 1 species
CCUACGGGAGGCAGCAGUGGGGAAUAUUGGACAAUGGGGGGAACCCUGAUCCAGCGACGCCGCGUGAGUGAAGAAGUAUUUCGGUAUGUAAAGCUCUAUCAGCAGGGAAGAAAGAAAUGACGGUACCUGACUAAGAAGCCCCGGCUAACUACGUGCCAGCAGCCGCGGUAAUACGUAGGGGGCAAGCGGUAGCCGGAUUUACUGGGUGGAAAGGGAGCGUAGACGGCGAUGCAAGUCUGAAGUGAAAGGCGGGGGCCCAACCCCCGGACUGCUUUGGAAACUGUAUGGCUAGAGUGAAGGAGAGGUAAGUGGAAUUCCUAGUGUAGCGGUGAAAUGCGUAGAUAUUAGGAGGAACACCAGUGGCGAAGGCGGCUUACUGGACUGUAACUGACGUUGAGGCUCGAAAGCGUGGGGAGCAAACAGGAUUAGAUACCCUAGUAGUC